GAUGAACGCUGGCGGCGUGCCUAAUACAUGCAAGUCGAGCGAACGGACGAGAAGCUUGCUUCUCUGAUGUUAGCGGCGGACGGGUGAGUAACACGUGGAUAACCUACCUAUAAGACUGGGAUAACUUCGGGAAACCGUAGCUAAUACCGGAUAAUAUUUUGACCCGCAUGGUUCAAAAGUGAAAGACGGUCUUGCUGUCACUUAUAGAUGUAUCCGCGCUGCAUUAGCUAGUUGGUAAGGUAACGGCUUACCAAGGCAACGAUGCAUAGCCGACCUGAGAGGGUGAUCGGCCACACUGGAACUGAGACACGGUCCAGACUACUACGGGAGGCAGCAGUAGGGAAUCUUCCGCAAUGGGCGAAAGCCUGACGGAGCAACGCCGCGUGAGAGAAGAAGGUCUUCGGAUCGUAAAACACUGUUAUUAGGGAAGAACAUAUGUGUAAGUAACUGUGCACAUCGUGACGGUACCUAAUCAGAAAGCCACGGCUAACUACGUG
rnacentral:rRNA from 1 species